AGUUUUUUGGGGGUCCCCGUUAAGAUUGGAACGAUAUAGAGAAAGAUUAGCAUGGCGCCUACCAAGAAUGACACGCACCAAUCGAGAAAUGGUUUAAAUUCUU